rnacentral:rRNA from 1 species
AACGAACGCUGGCGGCAUGCCUAACACAUGCAAGUCGAACGAGACCUUCGGGCCUAGUGGCGCACGGGUGCGUAACGCGUGGGAACCUGCCCUUAGGUUCGGAAUAACUCCCCGAAAGGGGUGCUAAUACCGGAUAAUGUCUUCGGACCAAAGAUUUAUCGCCUUUGGAUGGGCCCGCGUUGGAUUAGCUAGUUAGUAGGGUAAAAGCCUACCAAGGCGACGAUCCAUAGCUGGUCUGAGAGGAUGAUCAGCCACACUGGGACUGAGACACGGCCCAGACUCCUACGGGAGGCAGCAGUGGGGAAUAUUGGACAAUGGGCGAAAGCCUGAUCCAGCAAUGCCGCGUGAGUGAUGAAGGCCUUAGGGUUGUAAAGCUCUUUUACCCGGGAUGAUAAUGACAGUACCGGGAGAAUAAGCGCCGGCUAACUCCGUG